UGGGGAAUAUUGGACAAUGGGCGCAAGCCUGAUCCAGCCAUGCCGCGUGAGUGAUGAAGGCCCUAGGGUUGUAAAGCUCUUUCACCGGUGAAGAUAAUGACGGUAACCGGAGAAGAAGCCCCGGCUAACUUCGUGCCAGCAGCCGCGGUAAUACGAAGGGGGCUAGCGUUGUUCGGAUUUACUGGGCGUAAAGCGCACGUAGGCGGACUUUUAAGUCAGGGGUGAAAUCCCGGGGCUCAACCCCGGAAGUGCCUUUGAUACUGGAAGUCUUGAGUAUGGUAGAGGUGAGUGGAAUUCCGGGUGUAGAGGUGAAAUUCGUAGAUAUUCGGAGGAACACCAGUGGCGAAGGCGGCUCACUGGACCAUUACUGACGCUGAGGGGCGAAAGCGUGGGGAGCAAACAGG
rnacentral:rRNA from 1 species